CUUGACUGCGAGCGUGACGGCGCGAGCAGGUGCGAAAGCAGGUCAUAGUGAUCCGGUGGUUCUGAAUGGAAGGGCCAUCGCUCAACGGAUAAAAGGUACUCCGGGGAUAACAGGCUGAUACCGCCCAAGAGUUCAUAUCGACGGCGGUGUUUGGCACCUCGAUGUCGGCUCAUCACAUCCUGGGGCUGAAGUAGGUCCCAAGGGUAUGGCUGUUCGCCAUUUAAAGUGGUACGCGAGCUGGGUUUAGAACGUCGUGAGACAGUUCGGUCCCUAUCUGCCGUGGGCGCUGGAGAACUGAGGGGGGCUGCUCCUAGUACGAGAGGACCGGAGUGGACGCAUCACUGGUGUUCGGGUUGUCAUGCCAAUGGCACUGCCCGGUAGCUAAAUGCGGAAGAGAUAAGUGCUGAAAGCAUCUAAGCACGAAACUUGCCCCGAG
rnacentral:rRNA from 1 species